UACAGAGGUCUCAAGCGUUGUUCGGAUUCAUUGGGCGUAAAGGGUACGUAGGCGGCGCGGUAAGUCGGGUGUGAAAUCUUGGAGCUUAACUCCGAAACUGCAUUCGAUACUGCCGUGCUUGAGGACUGGAGAGGAGACUGGAAUUUACGGUGUAGCGGUGAAAUGCGUAGAUAUCGUAAGGAAGACCAGUGGCGAAGGCGGGUCUCUGGACAGUUCCUGACGCUGAGGCACGAAGGCCAGGGGAGCAAACGGG
rnacentral:rRNA from 1 species